GUGGAAAUAAAAUUGUAAAAAUGAUAAUAAAAAGCAGAAAUUAACACUUUCGGCAAGAACUGCAUGUAACUCAAAAAGAGCUACAUACAGCUCUCGGAGUUGCAUUUGCCCAUGUCUGUUAUAUAUUAUUGAAAAAUAUGAUGCUCAGUUUUUAGUAGAGUUGUUACUAAUUAUUUUUGUAUUUAUAACUUUAUAACACUAUAACUUAAUUUUAAUGAAAAAUAACAUCUUGCAUACUUUUCUUAAUAAGAAUUAGCAUUUAUCACAUCAAAAUUUUUCACUACUGGAAUAUUUUAUUAUUUGAAAAUUAUUUUAUUUAGUACAGUAGAAGUUCCAUAAUUUCACAUUUUGUGUAUUUACAGUUCAAUAUUUGCAAAGCUAAAAUUCAUUUAUUCAAGGAAGUAUUGACAAUUUUAUGUUUAUUAGAAGAGUUUUAAUGCCGAAAGGUCAUCAUAUACUGUGUUGCAUAAGAAUUAACAAAAAUAACAAACUCAGUUAAGAAAGAAUGAUGUUUAAUCUGUUUAGUAUUAAUAUAAACAUAUUAUACUACAGUUUGUCUUCUUAUUGUCUGUUAACUAUACUAAUGAAUUUUAUCUCAUAAUUUCUUGGAUUAUUUUACUAUGUGCACUUAAGUUAAUAGUAAGCAUUAUGUUUUACAAUAAGUAAAGAGAAUGUCAGUGUUAUAAUAUCAAAAGGUCAUUCUUCUAUCCUUACAAAUCAAUAAUGUCAUCUAAACAAAACAGAGAAAUGGUAAAUUAUCCAAAAGAUCAAAGAAUGUGGUGUCCUUCAAAAACAAAUUUAAUGUAUUAGAUUAUAUACAGGAAAGAAAUUUAACAGCUAUUGUUUCUUACACUUUCAUUGUAAAUGAGUCUAUUAUCAGAUACAUUAAAAGAAAAAAGAAUGAGAUUAGAAAUAUGGCAGAAAAAUUUCUUUAUAUAAAAACACUUUUUUCAAUUUUUUAUUUAUUAAUUAUAUACUUUUUCAAAAUAUUCUUUCUUCUUGUAUUCACAGUAAUUCAUGGCAAUUUUAUAGAACGUAACCUUCAUGAAUAAGGAGCUUCUGCUAUAUUAUAUUCAUCUGUCAGAAUAUUAGGCUUGUUGGGAUUUCAGCACAUCAAGUUAUCAAAGUUGAAUUUAGCAUAUUGCUGUUUUACUUUUUAGGAUGCUGAAAAUUCAUGAAACAAUCUCCAAAAAUAUUUUAGAUUAAUAAAUAAAUUGUAAUUUUGAUAACAUUAUUUUAGAAAUUUAAAUAUAUUAACUUCUUAUUUUGUUUUUAUUACUAGAAUAUUUUCCUUAAAAUAAGAUAGUAAAGUAACAUUAAUGUUGUGCUCAAGAAUAAUUAGAUGAUCAUCCUAAGUUUUCUAUGAUGCUUUAUAAAUGUUGUCAUAAAUAACAACAUUUAUAAAAUCUUGUCCAUUUAUUAUUCUAUGUAGGUGCUUUCAAAAGCAUGAACUGCAUCCCCCAGAAAAUCCUGUUGUUUGUCAUCAAUCAGAAGGUAGAAAUACACAAUUUGUAAUUAAAUGCUGCAAUGGUUAUGACUACUGUAAUCGUGAUCUUUUUCCAACAUUAGCACCCCCUACUACCACCUCAGGUAAGAAAAGCUAUGUAUUGAAUCAGAUGUAUUGAACUUAGUUUCUUUUUCAUUAAUUCAGGUGUUUACAUAAAGAGAAGCACUUUCCUCCAGACAAACCACAUAUGUGUCACAAACCCAAGCCUGGAAUCAUAAAAGUCACAAUCUGCUGUAAUGAAUAUGAUUUUUGUAACAAGGACCUUCAUCCCACACUCCCUCCUGACCAUAGAUUUUCAGGUGCUUUCAAAAGCAUGAACUGCAUCCCCCAGAAAAUCCUGUUGUUUGUCAUCAAUCAGAAGGUAGAAAUACACAAUUUGUAAUUAAAUGCUGCAAUGGUUAUGACUACUGUAAUCGUGAUCUUUUUCCAACAUUAGCACCCCCUACUACCACCUCAGGUGUUUACAUAAAGAGAAGCACUUUCCUCCAGACAAACCACAUAUGUGUCACAAACCCAAGCCUGGAAUCAUAAAAGUCACAAUCUGCUGUAAUGAAUAUGAUUUUUGUAACAAGGACCUUCAUCCCACACUCCCUCCUGACCAUAGAUUUUCAG